rnacentral:lncRNA from 1 species
AUGAUUUCCAAUUUAGCUGCCCUAAAUAAUAUAUAUAUAUAUGUAUAUAUAUUAAAAACUAAUAAGUUAGUAUAAUUUUUUUUUAUUAUUAUCCAUUUCGAGGUAUAUAAUUUAACGAAAUAUUAAACCACAUGGUACUAAAGUGAGAAAGUGCGAAACUAUGGGAUACUAACUUGAUACACUUUAAACCAUACGGUACCAAAGUAAGAAAGUGCGAAACUACAUGGAGGUAUUUAAAGUUUUUUCUAAAUUUUUAUUAUAACAGUAUUGUUCAAAUAACAU